UGUGAAUAUUGAACCAAGUCAAAAACAAAAAAGGUAAGCAGAUAUCUAUAUUAAUUUCAGUAUCAGCAGAUGCAAAACACUAUUAAAGGUGACAAAACGAUAAAAGUUACAUAAACAAUAAAAGCUCCUUGUGGUUUCUCGGUUUGAUUGAUUUGAGCAACCAUAAACGACGCAAAACAUAGGAAUUUUGAGUUUGUGAUCGCGAUUCCUAUAUAGAAAAAUCACUUCCUGCCCUCCAGCUGCUGUUCGCGCCACAGCAAUGACGUCAUUUUCUUACCCUUAUGUCGUUCUAAACCUGUGUGCAAUUUAACAAUGAAAACACAUUAAUGUGUGUUUGCUAUAAUUCAUGUUAAAAAUAAAGUAAGAGUUCUGUUUAGAAAAAAAAAAAAAAAAGGGUUAAAUAAGAGUUAUAGUAUGUAAAAAAUAAUAGUAUAAACAGUAGCUAGAUAGAUCUGAUGAUGGAGAAAAGCCUGUAGUGAUGCUCAGUUUGCUUCUUUUUUGUUGGAUGUGAAGGAAUUCAUUAUUGUGUAGUAGACUGCUCUCUAUAACCAGUGCUCAGCUGAUUACUUACAAACUGUAGUCAGUUACUGAUUCCAAAUUACAUGACAAAAAUUGUAACAUAAUCCAUUACAUUACACAUUUAAGGUAAUAUACAGUCAAACCAAAAUGUUUUCAGACACCUUGAACAUUUCAUUCAUUAAUACAGUUUAUUCACUAUAGUUUAAAAAAUGGUAAUAAAAUAUGACAAGAUCUCAGAGUUAAACUGUGUCAGAAAAAAAUAAUCUUAAUUAUGUCAGAUAACACUUAAGCAAAACAUGGUCAGGUCAAAGUGUCGGAAUAAUUUUUGGUCCCAACUUUUUAUCAGUUUUACUGGUAGUCCACUGUAUGAAGAAUGUUUGGGUAUAAUAUGUCACAGUUUACUUUAUUUUGCUAUCCUCACUUACAUAAAUGAACUAUAGUGUCCUGCACCCACUAGUAAAAAUAUAUCAAAAACGAUAUCUAGUGUCUGAAUAAUUUUUGGUUUGACUGUAAUCUGACUACUUCUCGAUGACUUUUGACUUAACUCGUCAAUCACGUUAAUUUGAACAGGAUAAUCUUGUACCAUUUUGAUAUAAAAAUACAAGGUGAAAGAAAAUAUAUUUCAUUCAACAACAUGGAGUGCAUUAAAUAUUACAUUUCGUCAGCAUUUCGUCAGGGUUCAUGAGUUUAAUGAAGUAAUUAAAUCAUAAAUAUUUUAAAAAAAGAAUAAUAAAAUGAUAAUAAUAAUAAUUUUAAAAUAAAAACAAUCAAAAUAAAACUCUUACUAAAAAAAUCUAUCUGCAUGUCAUGUAACCAACAUCAGAGAACCGUGAAAUCAAUAUUAUUAUUAUUAUUAUUAUUAUUAUUUAUUAUCAUUAUUAUUGACUUAAUUUUAUUAUUGACCUAACUUAUUAACUUAAAAUCUCAGGGGGUCUUCAAGUCAAUUAUGUUGGAGGUUCAGUUGACAAAAAAAGUUAGGGAAUCUCUACACUGUAAAUAUGAAAUAAUGUGAAUUUGGCAAAAGCCUUCCAGAGACAGUAAUACAUGGUUAAACGACUCACUGAGUGAUAAUUAAUGUGUUCAUCAGGAGCUGAUUAGAUGUUGCAAUGUUGAGAAAACACUUCUUAAAAUUGAAAUGAUUUCUGUGAAUCCAGUGAUAGUGGCUGGUCUGUGCAUGUGUGUGUGUGUGUGUGUGUGUGUGUGUGUGUGUGUAAUUCCACAAACCUAGAAGGCAUUCUGAAGGCCUGUAAGCUGUAGGCUUUUUUAGAAAGGAAAAUAUAAAAGAGAAAAAGUUGUAGUGGGGAGAAUCAAUGAAUUGUGAAUACUUAAUAACAUAAUCAAGUAAUCAAUAAAAAAAGUAGUCUGAUUACGAGUAUUUUAAAAUGUAAUAUGAUUUAAUUACAAGUACUUAAUUUUUGGAAUCUGAUUAUGCAAUCCAGAUUACAUAUAAUCCGUUACUACCCACAGUCUACAGCUCACUAAUAUCAGUGUAAUUAGUAUAAAACUCAAAGAAGAUCAAGCUGAACACUAAAGUAGCAGCUUGUCAUAUAUACUGCAGGUGGCAGUAUAGCAUCUGGUAAACUGAUCUGGACACAGCCUGGAAAAACCACAAAAGACCAGAUAAGGUCAGAGCCCACUCUUAAUGAGGCUCUUUUUCUGGAAGUGGCUGGAAGUGAAACUAAGUAUAAAAGUGAAAUUGAAACUGAAUGUUUGCUUUUGUUUUGGGUUUUCCACAAGCCUUUCCAGGAAAUCAUUAUGUGCAGAUCAGUAAAGCACCCUGUCAAAGGGAAGUGAAGAAACGGUGCGUCACUAACAAAUGACAGCAUACAGUUUUUACUUUUUACUUGUUUUCUUGCAUUUUUAGAAUAAAAUCACAAAAUAGGCAUUAUGUUGGAAUAUUGAGCAUGUUUUUUUUUUUUUUUAAUUGUUUUAACAACUUACAGUCAUUAGAUUCAUUUCUUACAUAAAUAAAUACAUUUGACAUGCGAUGGCAUGAAAUACACUAAAUUAGUUUAUGAUGAUGAACCUAAAAAGCCUUUUUUUAAUUUUUUUUUUUUUUUAAAUUAGCUCUACAGACAAAUGUAAAUUGUGCUUAUAUGAGUUUCUUCACAAACCUGUACAGUAAUUGUAAUGAUUUUUUAAUGAUUGAGUCCAACAAGUGGCCAACAUAUGGGAACUUCUUUAAUACUGUAAUCUAAAGGCAGCCACGAAUAUAAAAUAUAAGCUUGGGUUUGUUUAGCAUCUUUUAACAUUAUACAAUUGCCAUUCUUCCAUUUGCGUUUUUUCGCAGUUUCAAUGACUUUGCUAUUAUUCUAAAAUAAAUACUAAAAAUGAUGUGUGUGCAGACUUUUAUCUGUACACUCUUAAAAAUAAAGGUUCCAAAAAUAGCUUUUCAGAGUGAAGAUCAUAUAACUAUUUUUGGUUCCUCAAAGAACCAUUGAACAGUUCUUAAAAGAACAUUUUUUUCCCCUUCAAUUUAAAUUAUCUUCUAAAUCAUUAUAUAAUCUCUUGAUCCACUAAAGAAUCUUUAGUGGAAUGGAAAGAUUCCGUGGAUGUUUAAGGUUCUUCAAGGAACCACUGAUGCAAAUAAAGAAUGUGGUGUGUAUUAGAUGUCAUUUCAAACACAGUAUAACAGCUUCAGUCAAUUUUAUUGUAUAUGUCUCAAGGCAACAAAAAAUCAACUGGUGGCAAUGAAGCCAGUCAGCACAAACUCAGGUUCACACUUCCAUUAUAAUUAAACAAAGAUUCCUUUCAGUGACACAGUCAGUGUUGAGGGAGGCACUGUUGAGUCACUGUAAACAGGAAAGAUAAUGUUGUUUAGAAUAACUGGAGUGGAAGAACGUCAUUGAGGCUGAGGACACUGCUUAUGAAGGACUGACGGGGACAGUGAGGAUGACAUAUCACAUAUCAUGAUAUAUCGAGCACAGCCACCAAGACGUCUGAUGCAUCAGAGAAAAGAAGUUUUGUUUAGGUCUUAUUUAAAUCUAUUUUGAAGAUUUGGUGCUCUCAAAACAUUUGUUAUUAUAUUGCUUAAUAUUUUUAUGGAAACUGUGAUAUUUUUUUUCCCUGUCAGGAUAUUUGAUUAAUAAAAAGUUCACAUUUCUUUCGAAUAAAAUCUUACUGACCUUAACAUUUGAACAUUAGUUUACAAAACAUUUAUAUAGGCUACCAACAAAUUCCAGUUACAAACAAGAGUAAAUACUGAUUGAAGGAUUUUAAUAAUGUAAUGUAUAGAUUGAAAUUAGACAUACAGGGGUUGGACAAUGAAACUGAAACACUGGUCAAUAUAGCUACUGUUGGAGGUUGCUGGCCAAUCAGUAAAGGGUUCACACCAAGAACGAUAAAGAUAUAGUUCUAAAAAUCAUUCUAAAUAUAAAAGAAUAGCACUGUCCACCACACCUCAGCUAUAACGAUAGAGAAACAAUAUGGUUGGGAUCACUUUCAGAUGGAUUUUUUCCAGCUGUUGCACGAUGAAACACUGACAGCCAAUCAGAAUCCGUUAAUUUAAGGCCUUGUGCAUUUAAAAUGGCAGACGACAUUGCGAGAAGUUAAUCGCCUCAAGGUUCAGCAAAAGCUACCACUGUUUGACAAGUCAACCUCCUUUUCAAGGAUACUUUAAAGAAAAUGGAUAUAUGGAAAACAAUCAGUCAUACCCUCGGAAUAAAUGGUGAGAAGUAUUAACGAUGAGCUCAUUAUACUAGGCUAGCAAACAGAACAGAAUUACCUCAGGCAUCCAGCGCAAGUUUCGACAACAUUAUCUUGCUUCCUUUGAAGUUUCAGUGAAAAAGACUAUGUGUUGUUUUUAUUCCACUAUAUUGUCCUUCGUCAGCUAAUUUCACUGUUAGAUUAGAUCGAUUACACUAAAUAUUUAACUACGAUAACCUCUGACACGUCCGUCAUGGUUGAAAAAUAGUUCCAAAAUGAAAUUUGAACGGACCUCCUUGACGUUAUCUUAUUAAUUAAUUAAUUAGUAUAUAUUUAACUACAGGUAGCUAAAAGUCAAAGUAACAAUUAUGUAUGCAACCCCAUAGAAUUGUAGACAUGUACAAACAUAUCCGAAUGCAUUUUUAGUAGGCUAAAUGUUCUGUGUUUCAUAUUUUUUAUCGAUUUAUGCCGUCCUACCGCGACUAUUUUUGGCCAGGGACACGAUGUUUGCUGGGAUAGCAUGCUGAGGACAUCUGCUGGUUAUGUCGUGUAAAUGCAACAAGAACAGCAAAAACAUGAGAACAAACAUUAGAACAUUAGAAUAAACCAACGUGAUCUCAUGAGAAUACGUGUGUAUUUUUACGUAAAUUGUGGUUCUACCACACGUACAUUUACUUACGUUUUCAUACACACAAAAACGUACAACACUGACAUAUUUAGAGGACUAAAACGUAAAAAUACUUACGUAUUAACAGCAAUAAAAACGUAAAUCAUGUAACGUAAAGUGUGAAUGUAUAUGAAUUCCCAUGUAUUAAUAUUAAAAUCGUGGCUUUAAUGAUUUAAUGUUGUUUUUAGUCAAAUUUAUUGAAAGCAGUUUACUCAUCUACUUAAUAUAACAUUUCUGUUCGUGACUUGUGCUGCUCGUUUCAGAGGAUUGCAUAAUGUUAAACAAGACUACAAUUUAAAACCUUAUGAAUAAAUUUUCUGUAAUUGUUUAACCACUUUGUAAUAUUUAGUUUGUUUGCUGUGCGACACAGAAGGCGUUUUCUCCUAUGCAGCGAUUGACAUACAACCAUAAGAUACACCAAAACACAACAUAAAUUCACAAAUCACAUCAAUUUUAUUUGUUCGCUGUACUCCCAAUCUUUCGAAUCCAUAUGUUUGUAAGGAACAGAUCCAAAUUCAGCCCUUUAUCCAUCGAUCUUCAUUUUGAUUCUCAGCAACAGCGACCAUUAUGAUUCAAAUUUGAAAGUAGCGCCAACCUCGAGAAGCGUUACGACAUGGUUUACGGCACUGAUAACGAACGCUCAUUGGUUCUCACCUUCGUCACAGAUUGCGACAUGCCGUGUUUCAGUGGAUUGACAUUUGAAAUGAGUGCGCGCCUUCGCGGAGAGAAGCCGGAUUUAUCAUAUUUUCAUGGAUUAAUAAGUUAAAUUCUGCUCUGUACCCUAUAAAAACUAUUACCGCCAGAGAGGACUGUGACUGGAACUCAUCAUCAUUUGAACUACUUUUGGUACCACUUUUGACAUUUUCGCCAAAAAAAUAAAUAAAUAAAUAAAUAAAUUAUUGUGAUUACGCCUGUUUAUCGGUCAUUCUUUUAUUUAUAUUAGUAGAUAGUUUAAAGAAAUGGUUAUGGGUAGGUUUAGGGGCAGGUGUAGGAUUGGUGGCUCAAAAUAUCGUUUUAAUGUUAUAUUUUUACUAAAAUUGUCAUUUUCCUACACAUUUCUGCCCAAUAUGUUUUAUUCUUUUAACAUUCUGUAUAAAAUGGGUAUGUUUAGGUUCGGGAUGGGGUUUAGGGAUCUUACAUUUAUCUACAAAACGAUAAAAGGGAAAUUAUACAUAUAUUGUUGUAUUAAAUCAAGAAAAUGCAAUUACCCUGCCUCCUUGUUUAAAUUUUGGAAGUCUGUUGCUACACAUUUGGCCAAUGUAUUAAAUAUUAGGCAUUGCUUACAAUAUUAUUAUUUAUUUUUGUUUGUUUCUAAGAAAUGUAUUAUACUGUAUGGCCAGAGAUGUACAGUUAUUGUUGGCUAUGUGUGUGUGGUCCUAUGUGUGUGUGCUCAAGGACACAGAGAACUGUGGUUCUACUCCUAGAACCUUAUAAGGACAUCAGCCAUCUUGGAUGAGUUUACUGGAGUUCAAGGACACAAAAGCCAGACAGCUCGCACCUGCGAGGCCUUGAGAAGGAUCUGGAAACUUUGGGAAAGUUACAACAUACGUCAAUCAAGAAGAUAACCCAACGUCUGCAAUAAACAGCAGGAGUAUAAAAGACUGAUGAGUUGAUUGCCUCUUCGGAUACUGAUACGCUUCCCCCGACGCCUAGAAGCCCAGAGCUGAGGACAAGAAACCCCAAGCUGAAGAUGGGAAGCCCAGAGCUGACUACACCUUUGACUCAAAAGAGUGAUUACUGUAUUUUAUACCUUAAUGAUGAAGUUUUCUUUGCCUUUACAUUUUUGUUUAUUAUAAAAAGAAAAGUAACCAAUUAAAAGAAAUUUAAUUGAUUACAAAAGCUGCCUACCUUGGCUUGAUUUAUAGUGUUUUAAGACUUUGAACAAGAACGUACCACAGAGGAGUCUUCUGACCAAAUUGUAAGUAAUUUUAAAUGCUUAUAAUUUAGGCCAGACUCGACUUACUUUACCUAACCUGAGAAUAAUAAAUAAUAAGGUUAAAGGUGUUAAGAUCAAAAUACACACCGAAAAACAAUAUCUUUAAGACAUGAUAAGAUUUGUUUUUUUUUCGCUGUAAAAACGUAAGUAUUUUUACGUUUUAGUGCCAUAAUUACGUCAAUAUUGUACGUUUUAGCACCUUUCUAAACGUACAAAAAUGUACGUUUUGUGUCUUUGAAAGUUACGUAUUAAUACCUACGUAUUAACAAUGAGACCAGGCUGAAUAAACAGACCAUUAUCGUUCGUUGGUGUGGACGCAUUAUAGUUAUUGUUCUUGGUGUCAACGGGCCUUUAGAGCCGAGCAUGAAGGUUGAAUUAGCAGAGCUGUAUAUAAAAUAUUGCAACCCACACAACAUAAUGGGAGACAUGAGAGUUCAAAAGAAGACAAAUUGUUGGUGCGCAUAUCGCUGGCUCAUCUGUGACCAGGACAGCAAGUCUUUGUGGUGUACUGAGAGCUGAUGUUCAGGGUAAUGUUGGCAUACCACCAUGAAGGAUGAACCUAAUGGGAGUAACUGUUGACGCAAGAGGAAGCUGUCUGAAAGCAAUGUCCGGUCACCAGAUCUGAAUAUUUUUGAGCCACUUUGGAGGAGCAAGUCAAAAAAUGUUUUCUUUCACCAGCAUCACAUAGGCCCUGUUUCCAGCUGGUAUUUAGAUGCGUUUUGGUCGAUCAGAUCACAAGUGGGCAACGCUAAAUACAGGUGUAAAUGGGGUGUAAAACGCUUUGAGCUUGUCCACUUUCUACCACUUCCAGAGGUAGUUGAAAACUCAUUCGACCGGAUUGCUUUCGUAGUGUAAACACUCAUGUGAUCGAACGUGUUCGAACAGCCACAAAAGACCGCCUGCUCUCCACCUUCUGACCUAACACGUAAACAUUAUGGGAAACUCGCUAGCCAGACAGGAUUUAAACUUUGUCGGCUGAAGACCUAAGUUUGGUUUUGAAGAUGAAAAACGUACCAAGCACAAUGUUCUCUCACCAUUCCUGAUUUCUAACACACACUCACAGCAUUCAGCUGGUCUUGCGGCUGUCAGAGCAGAAACAAAAGCUGAUACUCUCCGUGUUUUUCCGUUGUCUCCGGUCAAGUUCAUAUGUAAAUUGUGCUAGCUUAUUUUGUCCAUUAGAUUGAAAGAUCUGAAAGACCCUCCCCUCAAAGAAAUCAGGACAGAAGUGGUGGGAAGUGUACAAAAGUGACGGAUUAAAACACCAGAUGUAUGUGUCUUCCUCGUCUACUUGUGAUCAGAUCAUCCAAAAUGCAUCUUAAUACCAGGUGUAAACAGGGUCCUAGUGACCUGGACACUCUUCUGGAAAGGAAAUGGCUCAAAAUCCCUCUGGUCACUGUAAAAUACACUGCUCUAAAGGAUGCCAAAUCGUUUGAUGGAAAUGAAAAUUAUCAACCUACUUCAGAUGACUGAAUUCAAAGAAACCCCGAAAAUCAAAGUGAAAAAAUGAUGCAGCAGGCUAGUCCAUUUUGCUGAAAUUUCAUUGCAGCAACUCAAAAUGAUACUCAGCAGUUUGUAUGGCCUCCACAUGCUUGUAUGCAUGCCUGACACCAUCCGGGCAUGCUCCUAAUGAGACGACAGAUGGUGUCCUGGGGUAUUUCCUCCCAGAUCUGGACCAGGACAUCACUGAGCUCCUUGACAGUCUGAGGUGCAACCUGGCGGCGUCGGAUGGACCGAAACAUAAUGUCCCAGAGGUGUUCUAUUGGAUUUAGGUCAGGCGAGCGUGGGGUCCAUUCAAUGGUAUCAAUCCCUUCAUCCUCCAAGAACUGCCUGCAUACUCUCGCCACAUGAGGAAGGAAGGAAGGAAGGAAGGAACCCAGGAGGAACCCACUGUACUAGAGCUGGGUCUGACAAUGGGUCCAAGGAUUUCAUCCCAAUACCUAAUGGCAGUCAGGGUGCCAUUGUCUAGCCUGUAGAGGUCUGUGCAUCCCUCCAUGGAUAUGCCUCCCCAGACCAUCACUGAUCCACCACCAAACCGGUCAUGCUGAACGAUGUUACAGGCAGCUUAAUGUUCUCCACGGCUUCUCCAGACCCUUUCACAUCUGUCACAUGUGCUCAGGGUGAACCUGCUCUCAUCUGUGAAAAGCACAAGGCGCCAGUGGCAGACCUGCCAAUUCUGGUGUUUAAUGGCAAAUGCCAAUCGAGCUCCACGAUGCCGGGCAGUGAGCACAGGGCCCACUAGAAGACGUCGGGCCCUCAGCCCACCCUCAUGAAGUCUGUUUCUGAUUGUUUGGUCAGAGACAUUCACACCAGUGACCUGCUGGAGGUCAUUUUGUAGGGCUCUGGCAGUGCUCAUCCUGUUCCUCCUUGCACAAAGGAGCAGAUACCGGUCCUGCUGAUGGGUUAAGGACCUUCUACGGCCCUGUCCAGCUCUCCUAGAGUAACUGCCGGUUUCCUGGAAUCUCCUCCAUGCUCUUGAGACUGUGCUGGGAGACACAGCAAACCUUCUGGCAAUGGCACGUAUUGAUGUGCCAUACUGGAGGAGUUGGACUGCCUGUGCGACCUCUGUAGGGUCCACAUAUCGCCUCAUGCUACCAGUAGUGACAAAAGAUGAGUAGGGAAAAAAAUGUCAGUGGCCAUUCCUAAAACCAUUCCUUUUUUGGUAGUUGUCUCAUUGUUGCCCAUCUAGUGCACCUGUUGUUAAUUUCAUUAACACCAAAGCAGCUGAAACUGAUUAACAACCCCCUCUGCUACUUAACUGACUAGAUCAAUAUCCCAAGAGUUUAACUGACUUGAUGCUAUUCUCUGAUUAAAAAGUGUUCCUUUAAUUUUUUUUGAGCUAUCUGUCAUUCCCAAGACGAAUUGAUGCUAUAUUGGCCCUGCACCAUACUAAUAAAUUAAUGUGGUCUACAACCAGGUGUUUCAGUUUCAUUGUCCAAACCCUGUGUGUCUAGAUAUUUUCUUGUAUUUAAACAUACUUGUAUAUGCAUUUAUAGAUUGUAAGAAUAAUGCUUAUAUUUAGGGGGAAAAAGUUUUCAGUUAAAUGCUGU